AGAGUUUGAUCCUGGCUCAGAACGAACGCUGGCAGCGUGGAUUAGGCAUGCAAGUCGAACGGGAAGCUUUGGCUUCAAUUCUUCGGGAGAGAAGCUGGAGUGGAGAGUGGCGAAAGGGUGAGUAUCGCGUGGGCAAUUUGCCUUUAAGUUGGGGAUAACUCUUCGAAAGAGGGGCUAAUACCGAAUGUGGUUAUUCGUCGCAUGGCGAGUGGACUAAAGACGGGGAUUCUGCUUUGGUGGAACCUGUCGCUUAAAGAUGAGCCCGCGUACCAUCAGCUUGUUGGUGAGGUAAUGGCUCACCAAGGCUUACGGUUAGCUGGUCUGAGAGGAUGGUCAGCCACACUGGGACUGAGACACUGCCCAGACUCCUACGGGAGGCUGCAGUCGAGGAUCAUUUGCAAUGCGCGGAAGCGUGACAAUGCGACGCUGCGUGGAGGAUGAAGGCUUUCGGGUCGUAAACUCCUGUCAUUCGGGAAAAAUAUGCCUGAGGUUAAUAGCUUCGGGAAUUGAUGUACCGAAAGAGAAGCCACGCUAACU
rnacentral:rRNA from 1 species